CAAAGUAUCCUGUACAGCUGUAGCUAUUGAUUCCCUUCCAAUGGAUAAUAAUGUGGACCUGAAAGUUUCUGUAUUUGUUCACUGAUUUGUACAGAGUGCUUAAAAUGAUACUUGCCAGAUGGACUUAAGCUCUAGAAAUCACGGACAAUAUUUGUCGGAGGUGAUCUGUCAAAUCGUGAACAGUCCUAUGGUCUGAUGGUCCUGCCACUCCUGGACCCAGAAAGGAAAGAGGAAAGAAAAGAGCCUUCCUUGUUUCACGGGUGUAACAAUGAGAAAAGUCGCAGGGGAAGGUUUGUCAGUGCCCUCAAGCCACUGCAGAAACUGUCAGUGCAAAGCCUGAAUCUGAGUGCUUACCCUGUAGUAGAACGGAGAUGGUGGCUAGCAGGCCUGGAGUGAAGAUGGCUACUUUUUGGGAUCCAUUGGAGCCUGGUCAAACCAUGGGGAAGCCCUUAUGAAAGUUGUAAUGCCUAUCUUUUUAGCUUUAUUUCAUAUUUUCCUAACUUGUACUAUGUAUAUCUGUAAUGUGAUGUAACAUUUUUC